UGACCUUGAACUUGUGAUUCUCCUGCGUC
rnacentral:piRNA from 1 species